UACGUAGGGGGCUAGCGUUGUCCGGAAUCAUUGGGCGUAAAGCGCGUGUAGGCGGUCCGGUAAGUCCGCUGUGAAAGUCACAGGCUCAACCUGUGAAUGCCGCUGGAAACUGUCUGGCUAGAGUCCGGAAGGGGCGAGUGGAAUUCCUGGUGUAGCGGUGAAAUGCGCAGAUAUCAGGAGGAACACCAAUGGCGAAGGCAGCUCGCUGGGACGGUACUGACGCUGAGGCGCGAAAGCGUGGGGAGCAAACAGG
rnacentral:rRNA from 1 species